rnacentral:rRNA from 1 species
ACAGGGAUUGCCCCAGUAACGGCGAGUGAAGCGGCAACAGCUCAAAUUUGAAAUCUGGCCCCGGGCCCGAGUUGUAAUUUGCAGAGGAUGCUUUUGGUGACGCGCCUACCGAGUCCCCUGGAACGGGGCGCCACAGAGGGUGAGAGCCCCGUAUGGUUUGACGCCGAGCCUCUGUAAAGCUCCUUCGACGAGUCGAGUAGUUUGGGAAUGCUGCUCUAAAUGGGAGGUAAAUUUCUUCUAAAGCUAAAUACCGGCCAGAGACCGAUAGCGCACAAGUAGAGUGAUCGAAAGAUGAAAAGCACUUUGAAAAGAGGGUUAAAUAGCACGUGAAAUUGUUGAAAGGGAAGCGCUCGUGACCAGACUUGCGCCGGGCGGAUCAUCCAGCGUUCUCGCUGGUGCACUCCGCCCGGCUCAGGCCAGCAUCGGUUUUCGCCGGGGGACAAAAGCACCGGGAAUGUGGCUCCCCUCGGGGAGUGUUAUAGCCCGGGGCGCAAUACCCCGGCGGGGACCGAGGACCGCGCUUCGGCAAGGAUGCUGGCGUAAUGGUCAUCAGCGACCCGUCUUGAAACACGGACCGAGGAGUCAAGCAUUAGUGCGAGUGUUUGGGUGUAAAACCCGCACGCGUAAUGAAAGUGAACGUAGGUGAGAGCUUCGGCGCAUCAUCGACCGAUCCUGAUGUUUUCGGAUGGAUUUGAGUAGGAGCAUUAACGCUUGGACCCGAAAGAUGGUGAACUAUACUUGAAUAGGGUGAAGCCAGAGGAAACUCUGGUGGAGGCUCGCAGCGGUUCUGACGUGCAAAUCGAUCGUCAAAUUUGAGUAUAGGGGCGAAAGACUAAUCGAACCAUCUAGUAGCUGGUUACCGC